rnacentral:rRNA from 1 species
UAGGGAAUCUUCGGCAAUGGGGGCAACCCUGACCGAGCAACGCCGCGUGAGUGAAGAAGGUUUUCGGAUCGUAAAGCUCUGUUGUAAGUCAAGAACGGGUGUGAGAGUGGAAAGUUCACACUGUGACGGUAGCUUACCAGAAAGGGACGGCUAACUACGUGCCAGCAGUCGCGGUAAUACGUAGGUCCCGAGCGUUGUCCGGAUUUAUUGGGCGUAAAGCGAGCGCAGGCGGUUUGAUAAGUCUGAAGUUAAAGGCUGUGGCUCAACCAUAGUUCGCUUUGGAAACUGUCAAACUUGAGUGCAGAAGGGGAGAGUGGAAUUCCAUGUGUAGUGGUGAAAUGCGUAGAUAUAUGGAGGAACACCGGUGGCGAAAGCGGCUCUCUGGUCUGUAACUGACGCUGAGGCUCGAAAGCGUGGGGAGCGAACAGGAUUAGAUACCCUGGUAGUCCACGCCGUAAACGAUGAGUGCUAGGUGUUGGAUCCUUUCCGGGAUUCAGUGCCGCAGCUAACGCAUUAAGCACUCCGCCUGGGGAGUACGACCGCAAGGUUGAAACUCUAAGUGAAUUGAC